GGGUAGGGCCGGGUAACACAGUACUAUGCAUGCAGCUUCUUCUUCCUCCCUCACUUCUUUCUCCACUGCAGUAGUUCUUGGGUUUGUGAGACUCCCACAGAGAGCAUGAUUCACUCCGGCGGCCGCCGCCGCCGCCACCGCCGCGGCAGCAAAGGGCCGUACGAGCGCGGCGGCGACGGGGAGGUGGACGGAAGCCCACGCGAAGCCAAGGGCUGCAUGGACGCAGCGGCGACGGACGCACAGGCAGGCUCCACUUUGGGCAGCGGCUGCUGUGCUGCUAUGGCUCACGCAUGGAUGGAGGAGUUUUCCGGGGACAAGGAGGAGGUGAAAGAUGUCUUGCUUGCUCAAGUCUUCGCUAAGCAUAAACCCAUUGAAAGAGACUGACAUGAUUUUGCUUGAGAGGGGAUUCUGCCACUGUGAGAAGGGGGAAGAACUACCAAAAAAAAAUCAACAGGAACCACCACCGCAUCAACUUUUACAGCAGAAGAACCAUCAGCAAUGUCAGCAACAAGCUGCUCACACUCCAAAGUCGAUGGUGCAGAAGCCUGAGUGGAACACGCAUGAGGAGGUGAAGGAGGUCCAUUUGAAACAGAAUGUCCCUGAACCAUCUUCUUACCUGCAUAAGUCCUCGGAGGAGGUGAAGGAAGUCCAUGUGAAGGAGAAUGUCCCUGCACCAUCUUCUUACUUGCUCAAGUCCUCGGGGUUAAAAUCAUUAUUUGUGAAGGCUUCUGGUGUUAGUGUAUCCAUACAAGUAGAUGUAUCUAACACAAAAGUUGAUUAUCUGAUCAAUUCUGCCUGUGAAAAGUUAGGUGUCAAAGCUCAGGAUACCUAUGCAGUGUUGUGCGGUAAAGUUUUAGACUAUGAUAAAUCAUUGUCGGAGUACCUAUUGUAUCAAAACUCAACCGUUGAAAUCCGCUAUCGAGGAAGAGCUGGACAGCUAAAUUGGGAUCAAAAAUUCAAUGUUAAUGAUACAGUUCUGUAUUAUGAUGUUAACUUAGAUCCAGCUCUUCAAAAUGCUGGAAUCCAGGCAUUCCAAUAUGCACGGUUUUUCUCGGAUUUUUCCUCAUACAAUAUAUUCAGAAGGUGUUGAUGCAUGUUACUGAACAACAUCCGUGCAGGGUGGAGUUAUGAUGGGGGUUUUAAUAGCCAGAACAUUAUCUUUCAUGAUGGCGCAGUUAGUAUAGAAAAUGUCCCUGUAGUGGCAUUUGAUAAAGAUCCAUGUGCUCGGGAUUAUACUAGUCUCUACAAUAUAUUCUCUACAAGGUUUGGACCAGUGUAUCCAGUACAUUUCGAUCAUCUCCUUGAAUUCCUAAGAACAUGUCCUUGUGGGGUGAACUCCAGAAACGAUGCAAUAGUUGCGUUUGUCACAAAUCAUCCUAGUAUUGAAACAUAUGUUGAUAGGAUGAAACAAUUGAUGAUUUUAGACAAUGUGGUACAUAGACACCCUGCACAUCUUCAGGCUAAUAUAAAAGCUAUGGCAGCAUAUGCUUCACACGCUAGUUUAAGAGCUAGUAUGGGACCAUAUGCAUAUGCUUGGAAAGGUUCUGCGCAGCUUGUUCCUGAACUCAAUAAUGUUCUUAUCUAUCAACCAUCCGGGAAACCAUUACAAUGGAAAAAUCCCUUAUAUACUGAUAAUGCAAAAGGUUGUCUUCAUUUUGCCAAUAAUUUUUUGAAGCAUGCAAGAAACAGGUUCCCAGAAGAACAAAUUGAGGCAGCAUUUGCUCUACACAUGAAAAAUUUCCUGCCAAAGAUAUUACAGGGACUAGCUGAACUUGCUGAUCGCACCCCAAACAGACAAUACAUCAAUGACAUGCUUUCAAACCCACUGGCGGAUAUAAGCACGGGAAAUUAGAUUCGGAGAUGCAUUAUGUAGGAAGCAACAAUCUGGAGAUAUUUUAAUUGGAAAGCUGUGAAGGAAUGUCAUUGUAUCGGAAUGUCAUUGUAUCUUGCUCAGGCCUCAUGGAGGCAUGUAUCUUCUCUGUUUCUUUGGACCGGUG